rnacentral:rRNA from 1 species
ACACGACUACAUUAGAUACCCGUGUAGUCCUAGCCGUAAACGAUGCUCGCUAGGUGUCGGCCACGGUGCGACCGUUGUCGGUGCCGUAGGGAAGCCGUGAAGCGAGCCACCUGGGAAGUACGGCCGCAAGGCUGAAACUUAAAGGAAUUGGCGGGGGAGCACCACAACGGGUGGAGCUUGCGGUUUAAUUGGAUUCAACGCCGGAAAUCUUACCGGGACCGACAGCAACAUGAAGGCCAGGCUGAAGACUUUGCCGGAUUAGCUG